UGUGCCCAUACUAAGCACUGAGGAUACAUGGAAAAUGGAAACUAUUAAAGUAUUUUCAAAGUUGUACUGUAUCACGCUGCUCAAGAAAAUGUAUACAGUUCCUACCUUCCUGGGACUGGGAGUCUUUUGGAGGAAAAUCAACAAUAGGCAUAACAAGGAACAUAAUUACAGGUCAAAGCAAAAGCCAGGAAGGAAAGAAUAGGGGAUGGAUAUAGAGUAAUAGUGAGUCCCUACUUGAAAGAUGGUGUUAGGGACAAAACUACUCUGAGGGGGUGACAUCUGUGCUGAGAUCCCUAUGACAAGUGUAGGGUUACGUGAAUGCUUUGGGACAGAGGGAACAGUGGGUUCCGAGACUGAAAAGAGCUUGACUCAUUCCCAGAACUGAAGGGAGCCUGGCUGGGGCAGGAGGCGGGGGGAGUAGAGAGAGCCCCGGGGAGGUGACUGCAGCAUUUAGAUGACACAAUAAUGUGAACUGAGAGUGUGGUGUCCAGCUGGAAAGAAGUCCAUUCAACAACAAAAAAAAUUUUGAGGUACAGGAGACAGAAUUUACUGAUGAAUCGAAAAUGGACUUUGAAGACCAAUGGCUAGAAUGAUCCGAGACUGAGCUGGAAUGGCAGGCCCUGAAUGGCCAUAGGAAAGGAUGCAGCAGAAUGGGACCUGGAAGUGAGCCCACAGCAAGGACUGGAAAGACUACAGCUGUAUUUGAUUCCACGAUGACAAGAGAACAUAACAGAACUCCCGUGAAGAAACACCCCUGCCUUCAAGAGUCAUAAAUAUCGGGGACGAACAGCAGUGUCUGUGAGAAUUCGAUUGGGGCAAGGAUGCUUUUCUAGAAUAUCCCAAUCUUUAAAGGAGAACAAGGACCAAACCACAGACAACUUUGGAGACAAGAUCCGCCGUGUUGUCAGCCAGCCACGCCGCGUCCAGUGUCCGACAACAGGGAAACACCAGGACUAUUGGUCACACCACAAGAAGUGCAUAUCUGGGGACAGAGGUCGCUCAUACCAUAUGGCAAGACGAGCUGCCCUUGUCACUUUUUACCCGUGGUGGCAGAUGUACUGGGAACCGUCUUCCCAGAAAAGCGCACAAUGUGAAAGAUAA
rnacentral:lncRNA from 1 species